AUGCAAAAACGGCUUUCGGCUCUUACCUUCCCACGCCCACCUCUCUCCGCCCCUUCCAAGCGCCCGGGAACCUUCCUAAGGCUGCCCCUCCCCUCCCUCGGGCGGGGCCAACGCCGAGGAACCCGGAUUCUCAUCCCUCCCUCCCCCCACCCCGGACCUCCAUCCCCCGCCCGCUCCGGGGAGUGGGAGCCGCCGACGCUGGGGGAGGGGCUGUGGCCUGCCCCGGGGACUAGGGUGCUGCUUUACAGCAGAGGUGGCCCGGGGCCCAGUCAGACCGUGCAACCCCGCGCGAGCGUCCCAACUCCCGUGCUCUGUCCCUCCGGCGCGCGGCCUCCGCCAGAUUGCAGUUCUGCCUUUCAAUAUUACAUGGUAUCAGGAGUGGGAUUCAAAGUGACCAGCAGUCAUCUCCAGCACUUGCUGCCAUCUCCAGCACUGCCAUGGAUUUGAGUAAGGUAUUGCAAGACUGGCUUUGGGUCAUGGCAGUUAAGUCCUCUCGGCCUAUAGUUGGGUGUUCUGUCUUGCUGGCUUCUGUCCUCACAUUCAAGGAGAGGAUUCUGUCUUCAUGUUUCCUAGUGGAAGAUUCUAGUUUUAGUAGCCUUCUGAGUACUAAUUCUUGGGAAACUCUGCUUCUAAGAAGGGUUCUUAUGUGCCAACAUCUUCUGGGACUCCUACAGUUUUCUGUUUAAAGAAUAUGGUCCUUCCUGCUGUAAAUUUUUGCCCUGUUGGACUCCUAUUACCUGGGAUGAAUGAAAACUCCACUGGCUAUGAUGGGGCAAAAAUCAGUUCACUUCUGUGCACAAUUGGAAAAAAGGCUGUAAAACCAAACAAAGCCAGUGGAAAGCUUCUUUUAAUCGGUAUCUUAGAGGCCUCAAAAAAAAAAAAAAAAAACUGAGAAGUUUGCUUACCUUUAGCCAGUUAGCUUCCUAAAGUUUUGAGUUAGGGACGCCUGGGUGGCUCAGUGGUUGAGUGCCUGCCUUUGGCUCAGGGCAGGAUCCUAGGGUCCAGGAUUGAGUCCCACAUCGGGCUCCCUGUGGGGAGCCUGCUUCUCCCUCUGCCUGUGUCUCUGCUCUCUCUCUCUCAUGAAUAAAAAAAUCUUUAAAAAAGAAAAAAACAAAAGUUUAGAGUUAAUUCAGAUCUUUCCAAGAGGCUUUCAGAAUUAGAAAACUAGGCCAAACAAAAGCAGACACAUAGAUCAAUGGAACAAAAUAGAGAAUCCAGAAGUGGACCCUCAACUUUAUGGUCAACUAAUAUUUGACAAAGGAGGAAAGACUAUCCACUGGAAAAAAGACAGUCUCUUCAAUAAAUGGUGCUGGGAAAAUUGGACAUCCACAUGCAGAAGAAUGAAACUAGACCACUCUCUUGCACCAUACACAAAGAUAAACUCAAAAUGUGAGACAAGAUUCCAUCAAAAUCCUAGAGGAGAACACAGGCAACACCCUUUUUGAACUCGGCCACAGUAACUUCUUGCAAGAUACAUCCAUGAAGGCAAGAGAAACAAAAGCAAAAAUGAACUAUUGGGACUUCAUCAAGAUAUGAAGCUUCUGCACAGCAAAAGAUACAGUCAAC
rnacentral:lncRNA from 1 species